rnacentral:rRNA from 1 species
GACGAACGCUGGCGGCGUGCUUAACACAUGCAAGUCGAGCGGUAAGGCCCUUCGGGGUCCACGAGCGGCGAACGGGUGAGUAACACGUGAGUAAUCUGCCCAUCACUUCGGGAUAACUCCGGGAAACCGGUGCUAAUACCGAAUAUGACCACUUCAGGCAUCUGAUGGUGGUGGAAAGUUCCGGCGGUGAUGGAUGAGCUCGCGGCCUAUCAGCUUGUUGGUGGGGUAGUGGCCUACCAAGGCUUCGACGGGUAGCCGGCCUGAGAGGGUGACCGGCCACACUGGGACUGAGACACGGCCCAGACUCCUACGGGAGGCAGCAGUGGGGAAUAUUGGACAAUGGGCGAAAGCCUGAUCCAGCAACGCCGCGUGAGGGAUGACGGCCUUCGGGUUGUAAACCUCUUUCAGCAGGGACGAAGCGAAAGUGACGGUACCUGCAGAAGAAGCACCGGCCAACUACGUG